rnacentral:rRNA from 1 species
UACGUAGGGGGCUAGCGUUAUCCGGAAUUACUGGGCGUAAAGGGUGCGUAGGUGGUUUCUUAAGUCAGAGGUGAAAGGCUACGGCUCAACCGUAGUAAGCCUUUGAAACUGGGAAACUUGAGUGCAGGAGAGGAGAGUGGAAUUCCUAGUGUAGCGGUGAAAUGCGUAGAUAUUAGUAGGAACACCAGUUGCGAAGGCGGCUCUCUGGACUGUAACUGACACUGAGGCACGAAAGCGUGGGGAGCAAACAGGAUUAGAUACCCCCGUAGUCCCUGAGCGGG